GGCGAUCUUUCUCUGAAUUAAAGAAGGGCUUCCCAGGUUACAUGAUGCCCUUUCCGACCGAGGAUCGCUAUUACAGGGCUUCACGAUCUUCCCGUGAAUCAUCUCAACAAGCCCACUUUCGUCAUCAUGGUGGAAAGUCAAGACCCUCAGGCAGUAGCAGAGGAGCUCAUGCCAGAGGUGGUUCAUCCAGAAAAAGAAGACCCAUGCAGUCAAGUAAGUGGUUUGGAUCACAUCCCUCAAAUUUGGUCAGAUAUAACCUCAGACUAAUGAGUGCUUCAGAUUUUCA